UGGGGAAUAUUGCACAAUGGGCGCAAGCCUGAUGCAGCCAUGCCGCGUGUGUGAAGAAGGCCUUCGGGUUGUAAAGCACUUUCAGCGGGGAGGAAGGCGUUAAGGUUAAUAACCUUGGCGAUUGACGUUACCCGCAGAAGAAUCACCGGCUAACUCCGUGCCAGCAGCCGCGGUAAUACGGAGGGUGCAAGCGUUAAUCGGAAUUACUGGGCGUAAAGCGCACGCAGGCGGUCCGUCAAGUCGGAUGUGAAAUCCCCGGGCUCAACCUGGGAACUGCAUUCGAAACUGGCAGGCUAGAGUCUUGUAGAGGGGGGUAGAAUUCCAGGUGUAGCGGUGAAAUGCGUAGAGAUCUGGAGGAAUACCGGUGGCGAAGGCGGCCCCCUGGACAAAGACUGACGCUCAGGUGCGAAAGCGUGGGGAGCAAACAGG
rnacentral:rRNA from 1 species